rnacentral:tRNA from 1 species
GACCUAUUAGUCAAGUUGGUUAAGACACCGUCCUUUCACGGCGGAAGCAGGAGUUCAAAUCUCCUAUAGGUCACCA